AGUUUUGUGCAGUGGCAGUAUCAUAGCCAAUGAGGUUUAUUCGAGGCACAAUUAUUGCUAAUUGAAAACUUUUCCCAAUACCCCACCAUGAUGACUUGAAACAUAGUCGGCUUUGGCAAUUUUUGACAGUCUCUGUGGAGA